UACCAAAUUAUGCAUGGGUUCUAAUCACACAAGUGAGGCUGGCUUACACCAGCCCUGACAUAGCACUCACUAGUCUUCUGGCCAAACGACUGUGAUUGAAAACACAUGUAAACUGCUCUUUACUAGUGGAUACUGUGUAAGACAAAGCCCAGAUGCAAAUCAGGCUUUGACUGACUCUUCUGGAAGAUAUGCAUCAAAUAUGGGGUAUAAUCUGGAUGGGCUGCCUCUGUGCUCAAUGUGAAUUAUUUAGAUAUCUUUUGAACACUUUAACAGUUUCUCUGAAACAAUGACUUACAUGAGGAUUGGUCCUCACAAUAAUGUGCAUUGUCAUCACUAACCCUGGAUCUUGCUGUAUUGUUACUCAAAUUGGUAAUAGGUACUGAUGAAGAUCGCUAAUGGAUGGAUAAUCAUAACACUUUU
rnacentral:lncRNA from 1 species